rnacentral:rRNA from 1 species
UACAGAGGUCUCAAGCGUUGUUCGGAUUCAUUGGGCGUAAAGGGUGUGUAGGUGGCGCGCUAAGUCGGGUGUGAAAUUUCGGAGCUUAACUCCGAAACUGCAUUCGAUACUGGCGUGGCUUGAGGACUGGAGAGGAGACUGGAAAUUUACGGUGUAGCAGUGAAAUGCGUAGAUAUCGUAAGGAAGACCAGUGGCGAAGGCGGGUCUCUGGAUAGUUC